UACUCGAGUGGCGAACGGGUGAGUAACACGUGGGUGAUCUGCCCUGCACUUCGGGAUAAGCUUGGGAAACUGGGUCUAAUACCGGAUAGGAGCCAUCUUUAGUGUGGUGGUUGGAAAGUUUUUUCGGUGUAGGAUGAGCUCGCGGCCUAUCAGCUUGUUGGUGAGGUAAUGGCCUACCAAGGCGGCGACGGGUAGCCGGCCUGAGAGGGUGUACGGCCACAUUGGGACUGAGAUACGGCCCAG
rnacentral:rRNA from 1 species